rnacentral:rRNA from 1 species
GACGAACGCUGGCGGCGUGCUUAACACAUGCAAGUCGAACGGAAAGGCCCUGCUUUUGUGGGGUGCUCGAGUGGCGAACGGGUGAGUAACACGUGAGUAACCUGCCCUUGACUUUGGGAUAACUUCAGGAAACUGGGGCUAAUACCGGAUAGGAGCUCCUGCUGCAUGGUGGGGGUUGGAAAGUUUCGGCGGUUGGGGAUGGACUCGCGGCUUAUCAGCUUGUUGGUGGGGUAGUGGCUUACCAAGGCUUUGACGGGUAGCCGGCCUGAGAGGGUGACCGGGCACAUUGGGCCUGAGAUACGGCCCAGACUCCUACGGGAGGCAGCAGUGGGGAAUAUUGCGCAAUGGGCGGAAGCCUGAUGCAGCAACGCCGCGUGCGGGAUGACGGCCUUCGGGUUGUAAACCGCUUUCGCCUGUGACGAAGCGUGAGUGACGGUAAUGGGUAAAGAAGCACCGGCUAACUACGUG